rnacentral:rRNA from 1 species
UAAUCAUGGAGUAUAAUAAUUAAAUUUAAUAAAUUUAAUAUAACUAUUAAUAGAAUUAGGUUACUAAUAAAUUAAUAACAAUUAAUUUUAAAACCUAAAGGUAAACCUUUAUAUUAAUAAUGUUUUUUUUUUAUUAUUUUUAUAAUAAGAAUAAUUAUUAAUAAUAAUAAACUAAGUGAACUGAAACAUCUAAGUAACUUAAGGAUAAGAAAUCAACAGAGAUAUUAUGAGUAUUGGUGAGAGAAAAUAAUAAAGGUCUAAUAAGUAUUAUGUGAAAAAAAUGUAAGAAAAUAGGAUAACAAAUUCUAAGACUAAAUACUAUUAAUAAGUAUAGUAAGUACCGUAAGGGAAAGUAUGAAAAUGAUUAUUUUAUAAGCAAUCAUGAAUAUAUUAUAUUAUAUUAAUGAUGUACCUUUUGUAUAAUGGGUCAGCAAGUAAUUAAUAUUAGUAAAACAAUAAGUUAUAAAUAAAUAGAAUAAUAUAUAUAUAUAUAAAAAUAUAUUAAAAUAUUUAAUUAAUAUUAAUUGACCCGAAAGCAAACGAUCUAACUAUGAUAAGAUGGAUAAACGAUCGAACAGGUUGAUGUUGCAAUAUCAUCUGAUUAAUUGUGGUUAGUAGUGAAAGACAAAUCUGGUUUGCAGAUAGCUGGUUUUCUAUGAAAUAUAUGUAAGUAUAGCCUUUAUAAAUAAUAAUUAUUAUAUAAUAUUAUAUUAAUAUUAUAUAAAGAAUGGUACAGCAAUUAAUAUAUAUUAGGGAACUAUUAAAGUUUUAUUAAUAAUAUUAAAUCUCGAAAUAUUUAAUUAUAUAUAAUAAAGAGUCAGAUUAUGUGCGAUAAGGUAAAUAAUCUAAAGGGAAACAGCCCAGAUUAAGAUAUAAAGUUCCUAAUAAAUAAUAAGUGAAAUAAAUAUUAAAAUAUUAUAAUAUAAUCAGUUAAUGGGUUUGACAAUAACCAUUUUUUAAUGAACAUGUAACAAUGCACUGAUUUAUAAUAAAUAAAAAAAAUAAUAUUUAAAAUCAAAUAUAUAUAUAUUUGUUAAUAGAUAAUAUACGGAUCUUAAUAAUAAGAAUUAUUUAAUUCCUAAUAUGGAAUAUUAUAUUUUUAUAAUAAAAAUAUAAAUACUGAAUAUCUAAAUAUUAUUAUUACUUUUUUUUUAAUAAUAAUAAUAUGGUAAUAGAACAUUUAAUGAUAAUAUAUAUUAGUUAUUAAUUAAUAUAUGUAUUAAUUAAAUAGAGAAUGCUGACAUGAGUAACGAAAAAAAGGUAUAAACCUUUUCACCUAAAACAUAAGGUUUAACUAUAAAAGUACGGCCCCUAAUUAAAUUAAUAAGAAUAUAAAUAUAUUUAAGAUGGGAUAAUCUAUAUUAAUAAAAAUUUAUCUUAAAAUAUAUAUAUUAUUAAUAAUUAUAUUAAUAAUAUAUAUAAUUAUAUUAUAUAUUUUUUUUUUAUAUAAUAUAAACUAAUAAAGAUCAGGAAAUAAUUAAUGUAUACCGUAAUGUAGACCGACUCAGGUAUGUAAGUAGAGAAUAUGAAGGUGAAUUAGAUAAUUAAAGGGAAGGAACUCGGCAAAGAUAGCUCAUAAGUUAGUCAAUAAAGAGUAAUAAGAACAAAGUUGUACAACUGUUUACUAAAAACACCGCACUUUGCAGAAACGAUAAGUUUAAGUAUAAGGUGUGAACUCUGCUCCAUGCUUAAUAUAUAAAUAAAAUUAUUUAACGAUAAUUUUAUUAAAUUUAGGUAAAUAGCAGCCUUAUUAUGAGGGUUAUAAUGUAGCGAAAUUCCUUGGCCUAUAAUUGAGGUCCCGCAUGAAUGACGUAAUGAUACAACAACUGUCUCCCCUUUAAGCUAAGUGAAAUUGAAAUCGUAGUGAAGAUGCUAUGUACCUUCAGCAAGACGGAAAGACCCUAUGCAGCUUUACUGUAAUUAGAUAGAUCGAAUUAUUGUUUAUUAUAUUCAGCAUAUUAAGUAAUCCUAUUAUUAGGUAAUCGUUUAGAUAUUAAUGAGAUACUUAUUAUAAUAUAAUGAUAAUUCUAAUCUUAUAAAUAAUUAUUAUUAUUAUUAUUAAUAAUAAUAAUAUGCUUUCAAGCAUAGUGAUAAAACAUAUUUAUAUGAUAAUCACUUUACUUAAUAGAUAUAAUUCUUAAGUAAUAUAUAAUAUAUAUUAUAUAUAUAUUAUAUAUAAUAUAAGAGACAAUCUCUAAUUGGUAGUUUUGAUGGGGCGUCAUUAUCAGCAAAAGUAUCUGAAUAAGUCCAUAAAUAAAUAUAUAAAAUUAUUGAAUAAAAAAAUAAUAUAUAUUAUAUAUAUUAAUUAUAAAUUGAAAUAUGUUUAUAUAAAUUUAUAUUUAUUGAAUAUAUUUUAGUAAUAGAUAAAAAUAUGUACAGUAAAAUUGUAAGGAAAACAAUAAUAACUUUCUCCUCUCUCGGUGGGGGUUCACACCUAUUUUUAAUAGGUGUUCACCCCUCUUCGGGGUUCCGGUUCCCUUUCGGGUCCCGGAACUUAAAUAAAAAUAAUUAUGGAAAGAAUUAAAUUAAUAUAAUGGUAUAACUGUGCGAUAAUUGUAACACAAACGAGUGAAACAAGUACGUAAGUAUGGCAUAAUGAACAAAUAACACUGAUUGUAAAGGUUAUUGAUAACGAAUAAAAGUUACGCUAGGGAUAACAGGGUAAUAUAACGAAAGAGUAGAUAUUGUAAGUUAUGUUUGCCACCUCGAUGUCGACUCAACAUUUCCUCUUGGUUGUAAAAGCUAAGAAGGGUUUGACUGUUCGUCAAUUAAAAUGUUACGUGAGUUGGGUUAAAUACGAUGUGAAUCAGUAUGGUUCCUAUCUGCUGAAGGAAAUAUUAUCAAAUUAAAUCUCAUUAUUAGUACGCAAGGACCAUAAUGAAUCAACCCAUGGUGUAUCUAUUGAUAAUAAUAUAAUAUAUUUAAUAAAAAUAAUACUUUAUUAAUAUAUUAUCUAUAUUAGUUUAUAUUUUAAUUAUAUAUUAUCAUAGUAGAUAAGCUAAGUUGAUAAUAAAUAAAUAUUGAAUACAUAUUAAAUAUGAAGUUGUUUUAAUAAGAUAAUUAAUCUGAUAAUUUUAUACUAAAAUUAAUAAUUAUAGGUUUUAUAUAUUAUUUAUAAAUAAAUAUAUUAUAAUAAUAAUAAUUAUUAUUAUUAAUAAAAAAUAU